rnacentral:rRNA from 1 species
GACGAACGCUGGCGGCGUGCCUAAUACAUGCAAGUUGAGCGAUGAAGCUGGAGCUUGCCACUCAUGUGGAGUGGCGCACGGGUGAGUAUCACGUGUGUAGAAUUCCUGUUGGAGCGGGGGACCACUUGGAAACACGAAUGCUAACACCGCAUAACAACUUUUAACAUAAGUUUUACUUCUGAAAUAUGCUUUUACCUCUAUCAGAUAGGAUCUCGCGUUGUUUGAGCUAGUUGGUGAGGUAAAGGCUCACCAAGGCGAUGAUACAUAGCCGACCUGAGAGGGUGAUCGGCCACACUGGGACUGAGACACGGCCCAAACUCCUACGGGAGGCAGCAGUAGGGAAUCUUCGGCAAUGGACGAAAGUCUGACCGAGCAACGCCGCGUGAGUGAAGAAGGUUUUCGGAUCGUAAAACUCUGUUGUUAGAGAAGAACGAUUGUGAGAGUGGAAAGCUCAUCAAGUGACGGUAACUAACCAGAAAGGGACGGCUAACUACGUG